rnacentral:rRNA from 1 species
AAAACCGACUCAGGUGGUCAGGUAGAGAAUACCAAGGCGAUCGGGUGAACUGUGGUUAAGGAACUCGGCAAAUUGCCCCCGUAACUUCGGGAGAAGGGGGACCUCUGCUGGUGAUGGGCUUUACGUUCUGAGCUGGUGGGGGUCGCAGUGGCCAGGGGGAAGCGACUGUUUACUAAAAACACAGGUCCGUGCGAAGUCGUAAGACGAUGUAUACGGACUGACGCCUGCCCGGUGCCGGAACGUUAAGGGGACCGCUUAGCCAGCUUCGGUUGGCGAAGGUGAGAACUUAAGCGCCGGUAAACGGCGGUGGUAACUAUAACCAUCCUAAGGUAGCGAAAUUCCUUGUCGGGUAAGUUCCGACCUGCACGAAUGGCGUAACGACUUCCCCGCUGUCUCAACCACAGACCCGGCGAAAUUGCACUACGAGUAAAGAUGCUCGUUUCGCGCAGCAGGACGGAAAGACCCCGGGACCUUCACUACAGCUUGACAUUGGCGUUUGGAACGUCUUGUGUAGGAUAGGUGGGAGACUAGGAAGCUGUCACGCUAGUGAUGGUGGAGUCAUUGGUGAAAUACCACUCUGGUCGUUUUGAACGUCUAACUCUGGUCCGUGAUCCGGAUCGGGGACAGUGUCUGGUGGGUAGUUUAACUGGGGCGGUUGCCUCCUAAAGAGUAACGGAGGCGCCCAAAGGUUCCCUCAGCCUGGUUGGCAAUCAGGUGUUGAGUGUAAGUGCACAAGGGAGCUUGACUGUGAGACUGACAGGUCGAGCAGGAGCGAAAGCUGGGACUAGUGAUCCGGCAUCGGCGUGUGGAAGCGGUGUCGCUCAACGGCUAAAAGGUACCCCGGGGAUAACAGGCUGAUCUUCCCCAAGAGUCCAUAUCGACGGGAUGGUUUGGCACCUCGAUGUCGGCUCGUCGCAUCCUGGGGCUGGAGUAGGUCCCAAGGGUUGGGCUGUUCGCCCAUUAAAGCGGUACGCGAGCUGGGUUUAGAACGUCGCGAGACAGUUCGGUCCCUAUCCGCUGCGCGCGCAGGAGACUUGAAGGGGGCUGUCCCUAGUACGAGAGGACCGGGACGGACGAACCUCUGGUGUGCCAGUUGUACCGCCAGGUGCACGGCUGGUUGGCUACGUUCGGAAGGGAUAACCGCUGAAAGCAUCUAAGCGGGAAGCUCGCCUUGAGAUGAGGUCUCCCACCCCGUGAGGGGGUAAGGCUCCCGGUAGAUCACCGGGUUGAUAGGCCGGAGGUGGAAGCACGGUAACGUGUGGAGCUGACCGGUACUAAUAGGCCGAGGACUUGACC